AAUUGUUGAUAACCAGAAAGGUUAUUUUUGACCGGCUUCGACAACCGCGAGUCAAAAAUUGGCUCCGUUGCCGGGGAAUUGAUUUAACUUGUUUAUUUUUCUUUCAUGACCAGAUCUGAAUGCAGGGACACACUGCCCUUUGAUCCAGAAAUUGAACGCACUCUCAGAAGACUUAGAAAGCAAGCCGCAGAAGCUUCAUCUGAAGCAACCAAAUUUUGCCAACAAGUCGCACCAAUGGCUGAACCUAAUCUACAAGUUGCUGC
rnacentral:lncRNA from 1 species